rnacentral:rRNA from 3 species
AAAGAAACUAACAAGCAUUCCUCUAGUAACGGCGAGUGAAGCAGGAAGAGCUCACCAUGUGAAUCUGUGUAACUAGUCUUAGACUAGCGCACCGAAUUGUGGUCUGUAGUGGUAACAUCGGUAACUGUUUGUGGACCAAGUCCCUUGGAAGAGGGCAGCUGAGAGGGUGAUACUCCCGUUCUUGUCUACAAACAGUAGCCUCACGAUGUGCCUCCUAUGAGUCGAGUUGCUUGGGAUUGCAGCUCAAAUGGGUGGUAAAUUCCAUCUAAAGCUAAAUAUUGGUGGGAGACCGAUAGCGUACAAGUACCGUGAGGGAAAGAUGCAAAGAACUUUGAAAAGAGAGUUAAAGAGUACCUGAAAUUGCUGAAAGGGAAGCAAAGGAAACCAGUGCAUAGCCUACUCAUAUUUCUGCUGCCACUUGUGGCAGUGGCGCUGUGAUUGGCGGUGGUCAUUGUUCGUUCACCCUGGGAUAACUGUGUAGACAGGAUUUGACUGCUUACACCCAUCUUGGGAGCAACCAAUACUGACAAAAUGGUUUUCUUUACCCCGUCUUGAAACACGGACCAAGGAGUCUAACAUAUGUGCGAGUAUAGGGGUGGCAAACCCCCAUGCGCAAUGAAAGUAACAGUGGUUGGACCUUCUGGGGCACAAUCCGCCGGCCACAAUUCUUCGGAAGAAAGGUCUGAGUGUGAGCAUAUAUGUUGGGACCCGAAAGAUGGUGAACUAUGCCUGAAUAGGGUGAAGCCAGGGGAAACUCUGGUGGAGGCUCGUAGCGAUUCUGACGUGCAAAUCGAUCGUCAAAUUUGGGCAUAGGGGCGAAAGACUAAUCGAACCAUCUA